rnacentral:rRNA from 1 species
AGAGUUUGAUCCUGGCUCAGAACGAACGCUGGCGGCGCGUUUUAAGCAUGCAAGUCGAGCGGCAAGGGUACUUCGGUACCCCUAGAGCGGCGGACGGGUGAGUAACACGUGGAUAACCUGCCCCCGGGUGCGGGAUAGCCCAGGGAAACCUGGAUUAAUACCUCGUAAGACCACGCUCUGCAGGGAGAGUGGGAAAAGGCGCUUCGGCGUCGCCUGGGGAUGGGUCCGCGUCCCAUUAGCUAGAUGGUAGGGUAAGAGCCUACCAUGGCGACGAUGGGUAGCCGGCCUGAGAGGGUGAACGGCCACACUGGAACUGAGACACGGUCCAGACUCCUACGGGAGGCAGCAGCUAAGAAUCUUCCGCAAUGGGCGCAAGCCUGACGGAGCGACGCCGCGUGGGCGAGGAAGGCCGCAAGGUUGUAAAGUCCUUUUCGGGAAGGGGAAUAAGAGUGAUAGGCAAUGAUCACUUGAUGACAUGAAUCCCGGAAUAAGCCCCGGCUAACUACGUGCCAGCAGCCGCGGUAACACGUAGGGGGCGAGCGUUGUUCGGAAUCAUUGGGCGUAAAGGGCGCGCAGGCGGCGUGUAAAGUCUGGCGUGGAAGUCCCCGGCUCAACUGGGGGAUUGCGUUGGAAACUGGCACGCUUGAGUACGACAGGGGAUGGCGGAAUUCCAGGUGUAGGGGUGAAAUCUGUAGAUAUCUGGAGGAACACCAAUGGCGAAGGCAGCCAUCUGGAUCAGUACUGACGCUGAGGCGCGAAGGUGCGGGGAGCAAACAGGUUUAGAUACCCUGGUAGUCCGCACAGUAAACGAUGUGCACUAGGUGUCGGGCAGUCAAUGUUCGGUACCGUAGCAAACGCGUUAAGUGCACCGCCUGGGGAGUAUGCCCGCAAGGGUGAAACUCAAAGGAAUUGACGGGGGCGUGCACAAGCGGUGGAGCAUGUGGUUUAAUUCGAUGAUACGCAAGGAACCUUACCCGGGCUCGAACGGUGCAUGAAUAUACGAGAGAUUGUAUAGUCCUUCGGGACAUGUAUCGAGGUGCUGCAUGGUUGUCGUCAGCUCGUGCCGUGAGGUGUCGGCUUAAGUGCCAUAACGAGCGCAGCCCGCGCUGUGUGUUACAAG